CACGCAGGCGGCCUGGUAAGUUGGAUGUGAAAUCCCCUGGCUCACCCAGGGAACUGCAUUCAAUACUGCCGGGCUUGAGGUCGGGAGGGGAGAGUGGAACUCCUAGUGUAGCGGUGAAAUGCGUAGAUAUUAGGAGGAACGCCGGUGGCGAAAGCGACUCUCUGGCCCGAUUCUGACGCUGAGGUGCGAAAGCUAGGGGAGCGAACG
rnacentral:rRNA from 1 species